rnacentral:rRNA from 1 species
AGGGUGUAAACGCUGCAGACUUGGUGUUGGAGGCCCUUUGGGGGCAUUCAGUGCCGGAGAGAAGUUGUUAAGUCUGCUACUUGGGGAGUACGUCCGCAAGGAUGAAACUUAAAGGAAUUGGCGGGGGAGCACCGCAACGGGAGGAGCGUGCGGUUUAAUUGGAUUCAACACCGUAAAACUACACCAGGGAAGACUGUUACAUGAAGGCCGAGAUGAAGACUCUGCUAGAUUUCUAGAGAGGUGGUGCAUGGC